AGUCUUAUCAUCAGAGUGGAGCCUGGUAACCACGACCUCCCCGCCAGGUCCUGUGUGUUGCUAGCUGGAGAAGGGUAGUUGAAAACUCAGACCAAGCACAGUGUUUAUAUCGGUCAAAACUAGAAAACUAUGUCCGGGCGCGGCCGAGGCUGGAGGAUCCCUUCAGGCCAAGAGCAACCUAGCAAUAUGGCGCGACCGGAUCUCUGUAGUCCUACCUCACUCAACCCCCAGCUACUUGAACCCCAAGGUUGAAGGCUCCAAUGAGCUAUGAUCCCACCACAGCAUUGCAGCCUGCCAGACUGAGUUUCACACUUGUUGUUCAGGCUGGAGUUGCAAUCUCGGCUCACCACAACCUCUGCCUCCCGGAUUCAAGAGAUUCUCCUGCCUCAGCCUCCCAAGUAGCUGGGACUACAGGUGUGCAUCCCCUGCCCAGCUGGAGUUUUGCUCUUGUCGCCCAUGCUGGAGUGUGAUCGUGGCUCACUGCAAUCUCUGCCUCCCAGGUUCAAGCG
rnacentral:lncRNA from 1 species